rnacentral:rRNA from 1 species
UCCAGCAGCCAUAUCACUCUGCAACUCACAACUGGCAGCCCACUGAAGCUCAGCAGGUGUGAGCCUGGUCAGUACCUGGAUGGGAGACCUCCUGGGAAAAACUAAGGUUGCUGCUGGAA